GUAGGGAAUAUUGGGCAAUGGAUGCAAGUCUGACCCAGCCAUCCCGCGUGCCGGAAGAAGGCCCUCAGGGUUGUAAACGGCUUUUGACGGUGAAGAACCGACAGGAUGCGUCCUGUUUUGCCGGUAGCCGUUGAAUAAGCACCGGCUAACUCCGUGCCAGCAGCCGCGGUAAUACGGAGGGUGCGAGCGUUGUCCGGAUUUAUUGGGUUUAAAGGGUGCGUAGGCUGGAAGGUCAGUCAGCGGUGAAAAGCUAUCGCUUAACGAUAGUCUUGCCGCAGAGACUUCCUUUCUUGGAUGAGGAGGAGGCCACUGGAACGGAUGGUGUAGCGGUGAAAUGCAUAGAUAUCAUCCAGAACACCGAUUGCGAAGGCAGGUGGCUGUACCUUAAUCGACGCUGAUGCACGAAAGCAUGGGGAGCAAACAGGAUUAGAAACCCUUGUAGUCC
rnacentral:rRNA from 1 species